AGAGUUUGAUCCUGGCUCAGGAUGAACUUUGGCGGCGUGCUUAACACAUGCAAGUCGAACGGGGAUUAUUUUGACAGAGACUUCGGUUGAAGUCGUUAUAAUCCUAGUGGCGGACGGGUGAGUAACGCGUGGGUAACCUGCCUCACACUGGGGAUAACAGUCAGAAAUGGCUGCUAAUACCGCAUAAGCGCACAGAGCUGCAUGGCUCAGUGUGAAAAACUCCGGUGGUAUAAGAUGGACCCGCGUUGGAUUAGCUGGUUGGUGGGGUAACGGCCCACCAAGGCGACGAUCCAUAGCCGGCCUGAGAGGGUGAACGGCCACAUUGGGACUGAGACACGGCCCACACUCCUACGGGAGGCAGCAGUGGGGAAUAUUGCACAAUGGGGGAAACCCUGAUGCAGCGACGCCGCGUGAAGGAAGAAAUAUCUCGGUAUGUAAACUUCUAUCAGCAGGGAAGAUAGUGACGGUACCUGACUAAGAAGCCCCGGCUAACUACGUGCCAGCAGCCGCGGUAAUACGUAGGGGGCAAGCGUUAUCCGGAUUUACUGGGUGUAAAGGGAGCGUAGACGGUGUGGCAAGUCUGAUGUGAAAGGCAUGGGCUCAACCUGUGGACUGCAUUGGAAACUGUCAUACUUGAGUGCCGGAGGGGUAAGCGGAAUUCCUAGUGUAGCGGUGAAAUGCGUAGAUAUUAGGAGGAACACCAGUGGCGAAGGCGGCUUACUGGACGGUAACUGACGUUGAGGCUCGAAAGCGUGGGGAGCAAACAGGAUUAGAUACCCUGGUAGUCCACGCCGUAAACGAU
rnacentral:rRNA from 1 species